rnacentral:rRNA from 1 species
GAUGAACGCUGGCGGCGUGCCUAAUACAUGCAAGUCGAGCGAACGGACGAGAAGCUUGCUUCUCUGAUGUUAGCGGCGGACGGGUGAGUAACACGUGGAUAACCUACCUAUAAGACUGGGAUAACUUCGGGAAACCGGAGCUAAUACCGGAUAAUAUUUUGAACCGCAUGGUUCAAAAGUGAAAGACGGUCUUGCUGUCACUUAUAGAUGGAUCCGCGCUGCAUUAGCUAGUUGGUAAGGUAACGGCUUACCAAGGCAACGAUGCAUAGCCGACCUGAGAGGGUGAUCGGCCACACUGGAACUGAGACACGGUCCAGACUCCUACGGGGGGCAGCAGUAGGGAAUCUUCCGCAAUGGGCGAAAGCCUGACGGAGCAACGCCGUGUGAGUGAUGAAGGUCUUCGGAUCGUAAAACUCUGUUAUUAGGGAAGAACAUAUGUGUAAGUAACUGUGCACAUCUUGACGGUACCUAAUCAGAAAGCCACGGCUAACUACGUG